rnacentral:rRNA from 1 species
GGAAAUCUCACCAGGCCCGGACACCGCGAGGAUUGACAGACUGAGAGCUCUUUCUCGAUUCGGUGGGUGGUGGUGCAUGGCCGUUCUUAGUUGGUGGAGCGAUCUGUCUGGUUAAUUCCGAUAACGAACGAGACCCCAACCUGCUAACUAGCCCUCGGGUCCUGCUUCUGUUGGGCCCGACGGAAUGAUUCGCUUCUUAGAGGGACUCGCGGCGCCUAGCCGCACGAAGGGGGGCGAUAA